CUACGGGGGGCUGCAGUAAGGAAUAUUGCGCAAUGGAGGCAACUCUGACGCAGCCAUGCCGCGUGCAGGAAGAAGGCCUUAUGGGUCGUAAACUGCUUUUAUUUAGGAAUAAACCCCCGAACGUGUUCGGGGCUGAAGGUACUAAACGAAUAAGCACCGGCUAACUCCGUGCCAGCAGCCGCGGUAAUACGGAGGGUGCAGGCGUUAUCCGGAUUUAUUGGGUUUAAAGGGUGCGCAGGCGGGCUAUUAAGUCAGUGGUGAAAUCCCGGGGCUCAACUCCGGAACUGCCAUUGAUACUGAUAGUCUUGAGUUUGGUUGAAGUGGGCGGAAUGUAGCAUGUAGCGGUGAAAUGCAUAGAUAUGCUACAGAACACCAAUCGCGAAGGCAGCUCACUAAGCCAAAACUGACGCUCAUGCACGAAAGCGUGGGGAUCAAACAGGAUUAGAUACCCGCGUAGUC
rnacentral:rRNA from 1 species